UACGUAGGGUGCAAGCGUUGUCCGGAAUUAUUGGGCGUAAAGAGCUCGUAGGUGGCCUGUCGCGUCGGCUGUGAAAACUCGGGGCUCAACUCCGAGCUUGCAGUCGAUACGGACAGGCUAGAGUUCGGCAGGGGAGACUGGAAUUCCUGGUGUAGCGGUGAAAUGCGCAGAUAUCAGGAGGAACACCGGUGGCGAAGGCGGGUCUCUGGGCCGAUACUGACGCUGAGGAGCGAAAGCGUGGGGAGCGAACAGG
rnacentral:rRNA from 1 species